rnacentral:misc_RNA from 1 species
UUUCCGUAGGUGAACCUGCGGAAGGAUCAUUACAGUAGUCACCCAGGUUGCCGCAAGGCCUCCUGGGUAACCUACCACCCUUUGUUUAUUACACUUUGUUGCUUUGGCAAGCCUGCCCUUGGGCUGCUGGCUCCGGCCGGCGAGCGCUUGCCAGAGGACCUAAACUCUGUUUGUCUAUACUGUCUGAGUACUAUAUAAUAGUUAAAACUUUCAACAACGGAUCUCUUGGUUCUG